AUUGAACGCUGGCGGCAGGCUUAACACAUGCAAGUCGAGCGAGCGGCGGACGGGUGAGUAAUGUCUGGGAACCUGCCUGAUGGAGGGGGAUAACUACUGGAAACGGUAGCUAAUACCGCAUACCAUCAGAUGUGCCCAGAUGGGCUUGGCUAGUGGGUGGGGUAAUGGCUCACCUAGGCGACGAUCCCGAGCUGGUCGGAGAGGUUGACCAGCCAAACUGGAACUGGGAAACGGCCCAGACUCCUACGGGAGGAGGAAUUGGGGAACAUUGCACAAGGGGGGCAAGCCUGAUGCAGCCAUGCGGCGUGGGUGAAGAAGGCCUUCGGGUUGUAAAGCACUUUCAGAGAGGAGGCGUUACUCACAGAAGAAGCACCGGCUAACUCCGUGCCAGCAGCCGCGGUAAUAC
rnacentral:rRNA from 1 species